GCUACUGAGGGAAUGCUUUGGUUCAGCGGUUGGGAACAAAGCAGAGGCUUCAUGGGGGCUUUAGACGCCGUCGAGGCCGCCGUGUUUGCACUGCUGUCUCCCACAGACCAAGUCUUGAUCCUCAUCUUGGUACUUGGGAGAGCGUGGACACAGGUCCGGCAGAAAAAAAGGUGGCGAAUCUGGGUCUUCUCAGUACGUGCUUGUGGUUGGGUACAUUCGGUUUUUUGGGGGGGACAGGAUACUGACCUGCUAUUCUCUACACCAGCGGUCGCGGACCGGUACCGGUUCCACGGAUCAAUUGGUACCGGGCCGGCGAAGUAAUAAUUAAUUAGUUCCGUUGUAUUUAUGGAAUACACUGAUGGGUGGACAAAAAAACAUUACAGACCAGAAGAUAUACUCCCCCCGACGCCCCCCAGGGGAGAACUGACAGACAAGCUGCUACAAUCAACGCAAAAUAUCCACUAAACAGGACGCUAUUGUGUGCUCACAAAAGUACAUUGAGUCCCUGAAUUACAAAUUUAUUUCAUCCUGAGACCAAGCACAUGUCACAGAGUUAAAAUAUAGCAUAAUCCCACUUGCCAUAAAAACCCAUCACAUUAUGAAAAUGACUUCAUCCUGUAGCCGUUGAAUGCAGGACCCCUGUGGACUCGGGUAGAGAACCCCUGGGUGAGCAGUAAGCUGCUGUCUUCCGGGUAGUUACACAAGCUAAUUACAGUACAUUCAUUUUACGGAGGACAGGUUUUCAUUGGGCGGCACAGUGAAA